rnacentral:rRNA from 1 species
AUACGUAGGUGGCGAGCGUUGUCCGGAUUUACUGGGCGUAAAGGGAGCGUAGGCGGAUUUUUAAGUGAGAUGUGAAAUACCCGGGCUCAACUUGGGUGCUGCAUUUCAAACUGGAAGUCUAGAGUGCAGGAGAGGAGAGUGGAAUUCCUAGUGUAGCGGUGAAAUGCGUAGAGAUUAGGAAGAACACCAGUGGCGAAGGCGACUCUCUGGACUGUAACUGAUGCUGAGGCUCGAAAGCGUGGGGAGCAAACAGGAUUAGAUACCCUGGUAGUCCACGCCUUAAACGAUGAAUACUAGGUGUAGGGGUUGUCAUGACCUCUGUGCCGCCGCAAACGCAUUAAGUAUUCCGCCUGGGGAGUACGGUCGCAAGAUUAAAACUCAAAUGAAUUGACGGGG